GAUUAUCUUAUCUUACCUGAUAUCUUUCUGGUGCAGUCUUUUCUUUCAUCCACGGCUCCACCGACAGCAUCCGCUCAGAGGGAGCAGCAGAAGUUGAUCCAUCAAGAAGAACAGAGACGGUGGGUGAGGAAAAUACUGGACUCUCACUGGAAUGUGCAGGAAAAGAGGAAGAGGAGCGCUGUGAGAAAUGAAUGACUGAACAGGGCCUGAGCGUUGCCGACUCUUCACCAGAGCAGAGAAACGGACGAGAAAAUGGGAGAAUUUAAGGACGUGAAGGCUAAACAUCGAGAAGCAGCUCCCUGUGUGAACAGAAGACUAGCGAGAGACACAGCAGGAUCUAAUGGUGCAUCCGUAUUAAAAACUGAAGAGAUUCUUGCCAGUGGUUAUGAUGACGUUCCACUUCACUGGAUGGGACACAAUCAAGCCUUAAUGAAGCAUUGCUAGUAACCGGUCUGCACUACCUGGGACCAGUUCCUGAGUUGUCAAGUCAUUUCUUUUGUAUGUUUUGUAUGAUCAUUUACUCCACCUUAUAUAGCUAUGCAGAAAACACGUAUUCGUUUAAAAUGUAGUAGCUGCUGGUUUGUAAAUUAAUGUUUCCUUGUUACAAUAAUAAGAUUUGAUAAGUGCUAAUGUAUACACUAUGGCACACUUUACAUUUUAAUAAAUUGCUGUCUAACAGAAGUAUUUCAACAAGAAGAAAUACAUUCCCUGACUGUAAUAGUUUGCUGCUUUACAUCAUAUAUCUAUGUACUAACGGGAAGUGAUGGGUUUCUCUGCAUCUUUCAAGGUCUCGAACUUGCUAUGUAAAUCGACAUGGAAUAAUCUAUAUUAUGAUUUGGCGCUAUACAAAUAAAAUUGUAUUAAUUGUA